AGCACAUACACUUACCUAAUUGUGUUAAGGACUUGAAAACAUGGCAAUACCCUUCUCCAUAAGGGUUUACGACAGUAAACCCAAAGGAAAAUGCCAUGAGGCCGUAAACUCCUCAAAGGGGGUGUUUUGUUGCCAUAGUCCAUUCCAAAGGCCAAACCACUUAGUAGAAUUGCUUCAAAAGGCUUGCUAAACCACAAAACAACACCUAGUCAUUAGGACUAGAGUUUACAAUCGUAAACUCUAGAGUUUACUGCCGUAAACUAUUUGAGUCUAAACCACAAAACAACACCUAGUCAUUAGGACUAGAGUUUACAAUCGUAAACUCUAGAGUUUACUGCCGUAAACUAUUUGAGUCAUGGCCAUCAAAACCGUAAACUCCAAGGGAGUUUACCCUUGAACCCUAAACACCCUAGCUUUGCCUUACCAACACUUGGAUGCAAUCCUUGUGAUCUUUAACACUUGAAUUAAAGUUUUUUCAUGUUAUAGAGUGUCUCAACUUAUUUUAUUAGUUGUAAUUUAGCUAAUUAGUUAUAUAUAUGUUCAUUAUAUGAUAACUAGGCUCGUGCGUG
rnacentral:lncRNA from 1 species